AAUAUUGGACAAUGGGGGCAACCCUGAUCCAGCCAUGCCGCGUGUGUGAAGAAGGUCUUCGGAUUGUAAAGCACUUUAAGUUGGGAGGAAGGUCUUUAGGCUAAUACCCUGAAGUUUUGACGUUACCAACAGAAUAAGCACCGGCUAACUCUGUGCCAGCAGCUGAGGAAAUACAGUGGGUGCAAGCGUUAAUCGGAAUUACUGGGCGUAAAGCGCGAGUAGAUGGUUCAGUAAGAUGGGUGUGAAGUCCCCGGGAUUAACCUGGGAACUGCUUUCAUAACUGCUGAGCUAGAGUACGGUAGAGGGUAGUGGAAUUUCCUGUGUAGCGGUGAAAUGCGUAGGUAUAGGAAGGAACACCAGUGGCGAAGGCGACUACCUGGACUGAUACUGACACUGAGGUGCGAAAGCGUGGGGAGCAAAC
rnacentral:rRNA from 1 species